UGGGUUAUUUAACUACAGCUGUGCCAAGAUGGGUCUGAACAUCUUCACCAAUUAUGCUGCAACAGAGUUUGGUGGAGAUGGAAUGCGAGUGAACACUGUCAGCCCCGGCCCCAUCAAGACGCCACUUUUUUUGCGAGACCGACCAGAAUUCCCGGGUGCAGCCCAGGUACAUAGUAUUAAUAAGUUAUCUAAAGUCAUCUAAAGUAGAACAUUUAAGCGUUAUGAUUUAAAUACUGGAAUAGUUUUUUUACAAAUUAUCAUCAUCAUCAUCAUCAUCAUCAUCAUCAUCAUCAUCAUCAUCAUCAUCAUCAAGUUUUUACAGUAGCUAAAAAUUCGUAUAUUUCGGUAUG